rnacentral:lncRNA from 1 species
GGGAAGUCUUCACACAGAGACAGCAGGGUCAGUGACUUAAAGACUAAUAUUUAAUGACCACAAGUAACACCUCUGUGAAACCAGAUUUAUUAUCAUUAUCAAUACCACAAAAAUAAAUACUUUACUAUCAAACAUUAGUUUUUAAAAAUACUACAAAUAUUGUUUUUUUCAAAAACUAAGUAUUUAAGUGUUCUUUUUCAGUGUAUAUUUUCAGCAUUCUAAUUUCACUCACCCAACACUCACUCCAACCUGAAACUCUCACUCUGCACUGACAUACACUCACUGUGCCCUGACACAUCUUCCAUUCAUGUCCAUGUUUCAGCAUCUUGACUCACAGAACUCUGUCUCUGCCCUGACACCCUCUCCCUCUGCCCCAACACCCUCUCUCUCUCCCUCUGCCCCAACACCCUCUCCCUCUCCCCCAACACCCUCUCUCUCUCCCUCUGCCCCAACACCCUCUUCCUCUGCCCUGAUGCUCUACUGAUCCUCCAGGACAGCCUUUCUCCUGUGAAUCAGCAUGCUGAUUGAUUAGUGAUGACUGCAGCUUCGUCAUCAUCAACAGGACCUCAGGACAGAGAGUCCCUGUGGAAUUUACAGAUGAUGUCCUCAGGUGUCCCACCCCUCUCCCUAAUUCUGCCCUCACAGGUGACCCUCCUCUCUACCCCAUACAGGAAUCCCCUUUCUCUCCUUAUUUCCUCCUACAGGUGUCCCACCCGUCUCCCUUAUUCCCACCACACAGGCGUCCCACCCCCCAGUCCGUGACUCUAGAUCCUGCGGUGCCUCAGCCUCCUCGCCUGCGCUCUCCUGCCUCCCGGGGCUCCAGAGCCCUCAGCAUUCCCGCCGGUCCCAGCGCCCCCGCUCCUCAGCUCCUGGUGGGCCCUCAGCGCCCAGGCGGACAGCUCACGCAGGACACAGUAACCCCGCACUUUCCGGGAAAAGCUGGAGGAGGACGAGGCAGAGGGGGAGGAGGGGGGCGCGUCUUUGUCUCCGGCGGUCACCCCGCCGGUCUCCAGCAGGAGAAGCCCCAGCCCGUCAGACAGGUCCCCCAGGCGAGAGAGAAGGGCUUCCAGUUUGGAGUGGAACGCGCCGUCCGCGGGGCUGAACUCCUCCUGCUGCUCCAGGACCACGGCGCCCAGCAGGACGUGCAGCGAGCGCAGGGCCACGGACACCAGCUUCAGGCGCUCCGAGACAGGGCCGUCCUGAGCGAGGGAGGAGGAAGGGGGGACACCAUCAACCCUGUCUGCAGGAAGGUCAUCACCAAGAUCCAUCUUCUGUUUCUGGAAGAGAGAGAG